rnacentral:rRNA from 1 species
UACAGAGGGGGCAAGCGUUGUUCGGAUUCACUGGGCGUAAAGGGUGCGCAGGCGGUUGGGUGUGUCAGAUGUGAAAUCCCGAGGCUCAACCUCGGAACUGCGUCUGAAACUACUCGACUAGAGUACUGGAGAGGGUAACGGAAUUCACGGUGUAGCAGUGAAAUGCGUAGAUAUCGUGGGGAACACCAGAGGCGAAGGCGGUUACCUGGACAGUUACUGACGCUCAGGCACGAAAGCAUGGGGAGCAAAAGGG